GAUGAACGCUAGCGGCAUGCUUAAUACAUGCAAGUCGAGGGGCAACAGGACUGUAUCAAUACAGUUGCUGGCGACCGGCAAACGUGUGCGGCACACGUACGCAACCUACCCAAAACUGGGGGAUAUCCCGGGGAAACCCGGAUUAAUACCUCGUAACCUUUUUAAGUAUCAUCCCUUGAUAAGUAUAGCUCCUGCUGUUUUGGAUGGGCGUGCGCGUGCUUAGGUAGUUGGUGCGGGUAACGGCCCACCAAGCCUGCGAUAAGUAACUGCUGUGAGAGCACGACAAGUCAGAAGGGAAAUGAGACACGGGCCCGAAUGGGACGGGAGGCAGGAGUAAGGAAUAUUGGUCAAUGGACGCAAGUCGGAACAAGCCAUGCCGGGUGAAGGAGGAAGGGCAUCUGGAUUGUAAACUUCUUUUAUGGGGGACGAAACCCGGAUAUUCUUAUCCGAUUGACGGUACCUCAGGAAUAAGCACCGGCUAACUCCGUG
rnacentral:rRNA from 1 species